GCGAGUGAAGCGGGCAAAGCUCAACCUGAAAAUCGGAUAUCCAAGCGGGUGUUCGAAUUGUAGUCUAGAGAGGUGUCUUCAGUGUGCGUCCUGGGUAUAACUCCUUUGGAACAGGGGAUCAUAGAGGGUGAGAAUCCCGUCCGUGACUCAGAGUACGCCGCGUACGAAGCGCUUUCAACGAGUCGAGUUGUUUGGGAUUGCAACUCUAAAUGGGUGGUAAACUUCAUCUAAAGCUAAAUACUGGCGAGAGACCGAUAGCGAACAAGUACCGUGAGGGAAAGAUGAAAAGAACUUUGAAAAGAGAGUCAAAAAGUACUUGAAAUUGUUAAGAGGGAAGCGAUGGAAACCAGUGCAUUUGUGCUUCUGGCUAUAUUUAACCUUUGUGGAGUUUGGCUGAGCGUGCUUUCGGUGUGGUCAAACCACUGGAGGCGGGUUCGCGGGGCUCUUGGGGUGUUCUGUAGUCAGGCAGCGUGUCAACAUCACUUUGGAUCUUGGGAGAAUGGCUGGUUUUCGCUGCUGUGGCUUCCGAGCUGCGGUAGGGGGCUGGUUGAUACCAAGGACUGGAGUGAGGCUUCAUUGUUCUGAUCAAAUCCGCCCGCAAGGUGUGGCUCUGCUCAUCGCUGCUGUAGACCCUUGGGAGAGGAAUCUGCCGGGGUCAAAGGUGGUGCAUGUGGUAGUCUAGCUU
rnacentral:rRNA from 1 species